GCAAACGUUGCUCGGAAUUACUGGGCGUAAAGCGCACGUAGGCGGCUUCUUAAGUCGGAGGUGAAAUCCUGGAGCUCAACUCCAGAACUGCCUUCGAUACUGGGAAGCUCGAGUCCGGGAGAGGUGAGUGGAACUGCGAGUGUAGAGGUGAAAUUCGUAGAUAUUCGCAAGAACACCAGUGGCGAAGGCGGCUCACUGGCCCGGUACUGACGCUGAGGUGCGAAAGCGUGGGGAGCAAACAGG
rnacentral:rRNA from 1 species